rnacentral:rRNA from 1 species
UACGAAGGGUGCAAGCGUUACUCGGAAUUACUGGGCGUAAAGCGUGCGUAGGUGGUGAGUUAAGUCUGAUGUGAAAUCCCCGGGCUCAACCUGGGAAUGGCAUUGGAUACUGGCUCGCUAGAGUGCGGUAGAGGGUGGUGGAAUUCCCGGUGUAGCAGUGAAAUGCGUAGGGAUCGGGAGGAACAUCUGUGGCGACGGCGGCCACCUGGACCAACACUGACACUGAGGCACGAAAGCGUGGGGAGCAAACAGG